CCUUAAAUCAAUAUCUAAUUUUUCAAAUCAAUAAAUGUUUUUUAAAUACCUACAAGCUGCCUAGGACUGUACUAAGUUUUACAUGCUGUACGAAAGACAUAGCAGAUAUUCAUCCUAUUUAAGAUACUUUUUAAAAACUGUGAGAUAAGGCAUAGGACAGCUGGAGGACAGUUCUAAAUUAGCAUCUAAGUGGAUAAAUAGAAUGUGUCUUGUUCAAAGCCAUUAG
rnacentral:lncRNA from 1 species